rnacentral:rRNA from 1 species
AGCGAACGCUGGCGGCAGGCCUAACACAUGCAAGUCGAACGAACCGUUCGGGGUUGGUGGCGAACGGGGGGGCAACACGGGGGAACGUGCCUGUAGGUUCGGCAUAACUCAGUGAGACAUGUGCUAAUACCGAAUGUGCCCUUCGGGGGAAAGAUUAAUCGGCUUUGGCGCGGCCCGCGUCUGUUUAGGUAGGUGGGUGAGGUAAUGGCUCACCAGGGCGACGACCAGUAGCUGGUCUGCGAGGAUGAUGAGCCAACUUGGGACCGGGACACGGCCCAAACUCCUGCGGGAGGCGGCAGUGGUGAACCAUGCGCAGUGGGCGGAAGCAUGACGCACCCAUGCCGCGUGAAUGAUGAAGGGCUUAGGACCGUAAAAUUCUUUCACCGAGGACGGUAAUGCGGGUAACCGGAGAAGAAGCCCCGGCUACUUCCGU